UACGGGGGGAGCAAGCGUUGUUCGGAUUUACUGGGCGUAAAGGGCGCGUAGGCGGUCAGCACAAGUCAGUUGUGAAAUCUCCGGGCUUAACUCGGAAAGGUCAACUGAUACUGUGCGACUAGAGUGCGGAAGGGGCAACUGGAAUUCUCGGUGUAGCGGUGAAAUGCGUAGAUAUCGAGAGGAACACCUGCGGCGAAGGCGGGUUGCUGGGCCGACACUGACGCUGAUGCGCGAAAACCAGGGGAGCGAACGGG
rnacentral:rRNA from 1 species